GGGGAUUUAGCUCAGCGGCGUGAGCUCUUGCCUUGCAAGCAGGCAGCCCGUGGGUUCAAUCCCUG
rnacentral:tRNA from 1 species